GGUUCAAUGGUCUAGUGGUUAUGAUUUGUGUCUCACACACACAAGGUCCUGAGUUCAAGUCUCAGUUGAAUCA